rnacentral:rRNA from 1 species
GAUGAACGCUGGCGGCGUGCCUAAUACAUGCAAGUCGAGCGAACAGACGAGGAGCUUGCUCCUCUGACGUUAGCGGCGGACGGGUGAGUAACACGUGGAUAACCUACCUAUAAGACUGGGAUAACUUCGGGAAACCGGAGCUAAUACCGGAUAAUAUAUUGAACCGCAUGGUUCAAUAGUUAAAGACGGUUUUGCUGUCACUUAUAGAUGGAUCCGCGCCGCAUUAGCUAGUUGGUAAGGUAACGGCUUACCAAGGCAACGAUGCGUAGCCGACCUGAGAGGGUGAUCGGCCACACUGGAACUGAGACACGGUCCAGACUCCUACGGGAGGCAGCAGUAGGGAAUCUUCCGCAAUGGGCGAAAGCCUGACGGAGCAACGCCGCGUGAGUGAUGAAGGUCUUCGGAUCGUAAAACUCUGUUAUUAGGGAAGAACAAGUGUGUAAGUAACUAUGCACGUCUUGACGGUACCUAAUCAGAAAGCCACGGCUAACUACGUG